rnacentral:rRNA from 1 species
UACGGAGGGGACUAGCGUUGUUCGGAAUUACUGGGCGUAAAGGGCGCGUAGGCGGCCUGCUAAGUCGAACGUGAAAUCCCCGAGCUCAACUCGGGAACUGCGUCCGAUACUGGCAGGCUUGAAUCCGGGAGAGGGAUGCGGAAUUCCAGGUGUAGCGGUGAAAUGCGUAGAUAUCUGGAGGAACACCGGUGGCGAAGGCGGCAUCCUGGACCGGCAUUGACGCUGAGGCGCGAAAGCCAGGGGAGCAAACGGG